CACAGGGCCCACCUCCAUCCCCUACCUAUUAGUGAAGAUCCGUUUGGCAGAGUAGCUGUUGACAUUAUAGUUGCGAAGGCACUUUUUUAACUCUAGAGAACCUUGGGCCAAUCGCACGUCCCCGUGAUGGCGACUUUGCAUUCGUAUGUCAUCCAUAUCAACUUUCUAUGCCAGUUUCUACGCCUAUCAUGGUGACCACGGGUAACGGGGAAUCAGGGUUGAAUUACGGAGAGGGAAUCUGAGAAACUACUAUUACAUGCAAGGAAGGCAGCAGGCGCGCAAAUGACCCACUUCCGACGCGGGAAGGUAGUGACG